rnacentral:rRNA from 1 species
CACCUCUUCCCAUUCCGAACAGAGUAGUUAAGCCCGCCAGAGCCGAUGGUAUUGCCGUAACAGGUGGGAGAGUAGGUCGGUGCCUAAU